rnacentral:lncRNA from 1 species
ACACUCAUUAAUACAUGAAGCCCACAUGUCAACCUUCUACACAACCCCUCUCUUCUUUCUGUCAUCUUAUUUCUUCUUUCUCUAGACAGACGCCAUGGCCAUGGAGGCUACUGCUGCUUGCACGGAAGGGGAGGGGCUCGAUUAGGCCGAGCCGAUCUGGCAGUGGCGUAGCGCCAGGCCGUGCGGCGCGGGUAUAGAUGGCCAUCGGGCCGUGCCGGCCCGGCCCGGUGGCCCGGCGUGCCGUGCCGUGCCGUGCCUGCCCCGGGCCGUACCGUGCCGUCGUGCCGGCCGGGCCGUGCCAUCAUCGUGCCUCGUGCCGGGGGUAUGGCCCAAGGCACGGCCCAUGGGCCAUCGGGCCGGCCCGAAGGCACGGCGGGCCACCGGGCCAAGGUCGUGCUAGACCAGUAGUAGACCUAUAUUUCCUUUUUUUGUUUACAAUUAGCAGGCUAUAUUUUUUAACAGGCCAAUUAGAAUGGACGGAUGGGCCAACAGACCUACAUUUUCUUUUUUUUUUAGAAUUAAAAGUUAUAUUUUUUUACUAGGCCAUUAAGCAUCGGGCCGUCGGGCCGUGCCUGAGCCGUGCCACGGGCCACGGUGGCGGCCCAGGCACGGCCCGGUAGUUGUCGGGCCGUGCUGUGCCCGGGCCGGGCCAAAAUGCCGUGCCGCGGGCCGGGC